GUGAGGAAUAUUGCGCAAUGGAGGCAACUCUGACGCAGCCAUGCCGCGUGCAGGAAGAAGGCGCUACGCGUUGUAAACUGCUUUUAACCGGGAAGAAACCCCAGGACGUGUCCUGGGUUGACGGUACCGGAGGAAUAAGCACCGGCUAACUUCGUGCCAGCAGCCGCGGUAAUACGAAGGGUGCAAGCGUUAUCCGGAUUCAUUGGGUUUAAAGGGUGCGUAGGCGGAGCGUUAAGUCAGUGGUGAAAUCCUGCAGCUUAACUGUAGACUUGCCAUUGAUACUGGUGCUCUUGAGUGCGCUUGAAGUGGGCGGAAUGUGCCGUGUAGCGGUGAAAUGCUUAGAUAUGGCACAGAACACCAAUUGCGAAGGCAGCUCACUAAGGCGAUACUGACGCUGAGGCACGAAAGCGUGGGGAUCGAACAGGAUUAGAUACCCCUGUAGUCC
rnacentral:rRNA from 1 species